CAACUCUAGUUGAUCCUGCUAGAGGACACUGCUAUCGGCUUGGGGUUAAGACAUGCAAGUGGAACGGGCUCGCAUCCGAGUCCGUCGCGAACGGCUCAGUAGUGUCGCUAACCUACCCUGUGGAGGGGCAUAACGCCGGGAAACUGGCGCUAAUUCCCCAUAGGAGCAAUGUUCUGGAAAUGAUAUUGCUCUGAAAAGGGUGUCCCAGGUAUGUGGGGCUCUCCGCCACAGGACGGGGCGGCACCGGAUCAUACUUGUAAGUGGGGUAACUGCCCACUUAGGUUAUGACCCGAACGGGCGAUGUAAGUCGUGGCCCGGAGAAGGGCACUGAGACAAGGGCCCUAGCCCCACGGGGUGCAGCAGUUACGAAACCUCACCAAUGCGCGAAAGCGUGAGUGGGCCAAGCCGAGUGAUGGGGGAUAACUCCAUCUGUGGCGGAUCCGCAAGAUGGACCGCUAGAAAGGAGAGGGCAAGGCUGGUGCCAGCCGCCGCGGUAAAACCAGCUCUUCGAGUGGUGUCCACGAUUAUUGAGCUUAAAGCGUCCGUAGCCGGCUUGGUAGGUCCCUGCUUAAAUCCGGCCGCCCAACGGUCGGCUUGGUAGGGAUACCGCCUCGCUUGGGGACGGGAGACGGCGACGGUAUUCCACGGGUAGGGGUGAAAUCCUAUGAUCCGUGGAGGACCACCAGUGGCGAAGGCGGUCGCCGAGAACGUGCCCGACGGUGAGGGACGAAACCCAGGGUAGCGAAUCGGAUUAGAUACCCGAGUAGUCCUGGGCGUAAACGAUGCCCGUUAAGUGUUGCACGGCUACGAGCCGCUGCAGUGCUGUAGCGAAAGCGAUAAACGGGCCGCUUGGGAAGUACGGCCGCAAGGCUGAAUUCCCCUCAGCCUAAUAGAACAGUGCCUGAGGGGACAGCAGACUUAAAGGAAUUGGCGGGGGAGCACCACAAGGGGUGGAGCUUGCGGUUUAAUUGGACUCAACGCCGGAAAUCUUACCCGCCCAGACAGCCGAAUGAGGGCCAGACUGAUGAUCUUGCCCGACGAGCUGAGAGCUGGUGCAUGGCCAUCGUAAAUUCGUGCCGUGAGGUAUCGGCUUAAGUGCUGCAACGAAUGAGAUCCCCGCCCCUAGUUGCCAGCCGGGGGCUUCGGCCCUGUCGGGGCACACUAGGGGGACCGCCGUCGACAAAGACGGAGGAAGGUGGGGGCCACGGUAGGUCAGUAUGCCGCGAUAUGGGCGGGGCCACACGCGUGCUACAAUGGCCGGGACAAUGCGUUACGACACCGAGAGGUGAAGUCAAUCGCGAAACCCGGUCGUAGUUGGGAUCGCGGGUUGGAACCCACCCGCGUGAACCUGGAAUCCCUAGUAUCCGCGUGUCACUAUCGCGCGGAGAAUACGUCCCUGCUUCUUGCACACACCGCCCGUCGCUCCACGCGAGCGGCCCUGGGGUGAGGCGUCGUCCACUGGGCGAUGACGAAUCUUGGGGUCGCAAGUGGGGAGAAGUCGUAAAA
rnacentral:rRNA from 1 species